CAGUCGCCGCGGUAAUACGUAGGGUGCGAGCGUUGUCCGGAAUUACUGGGCGUAAAGAGCUCGUAGGUGGUUUGUCGCGUCGUCUGUGAAAUUCUGGGGCUUAACUCCGGGCGUGCAGGCGAUACGGGCAUAACUUGAGUGCUGUAGGGGUAACUGGAAUUCCUGGUGUAGCGGUGAAAUGCGCAGAUAUCAGGAGGAACACCGAUGGCGAAGGCAGGUUACUGGGCAGUUACUGACGCUGAGGAGCGAAAGCAUGGGUAGCGAACAGGAUUAGAUACCCCUGUAGUCCCUGUCUCUUAUA
rnacentral:rRNA from 1 species